rnacentral:tRNA from 1 species
GGGGUGGACAACGGCUAUGACAUCUCCUUGACGUGGAGAAGGUCGUCGGUUCAAAUCCGGCCGGGCCCA